UAAAAAGUGCAAUUCCAGUGCAAUUUCGGGGCAGAGAUUUGGCACCGAAAAUUUUGUCGGUGGAGCCAGUGCACGCACUAACACCAAUAACGGAAACGUCAAAACCACGAUCAAAACAACACAAAAUGGAAAAGAAAAAAAAUCGAAAAUCAGCGACCGGACAAUCGUUAGCGAUUGAACUACGUUAACUGCGGUGUUUUAAUGAGCAAGAAACAUGUUGGCUCACUGGCACAAUUGUACGAGAAUGCAUCUAAUAAUGCAGAAAGUUAUCACGACAGCCGAACUAAUAUAUUGCUUAUGUUGACCCGCUGUAAAUGAUGGCAACGAGUAUCAUCCCACUCAGGUGAAAAUUGAGGUGAAUCGGUUUAUUGCGUGACCGGCCAGCGUCGUGAAGACCCAAAUUUGCCCGAAUGCCGACCCACAUUAUGCUAGAUGGAAAUAUACCUUCGCAAGCAAACCGAUUCAAAUAAUUCUAAUGCACACGGGAAAAGUGGAUAUACAAUCGGCUAAAAAUUCGAGGCACAGGUUUUAAUGGAGCCCACUCCAUUAACCUUGGUAACAAUUUCAAAUGUCGACCUGCUAGCAAGAACAGCUGCACUACAAAAUCCAUUAAGGGACCUAUGCAUCCGUCGUUAUCAGCCAUCCCCUAAACCGGCAACGUAUCCCUUGAAUUGAAUUUCGUUUUCAAAAAAGCGAAUAAAGACAUCUGUUUCUACGGACUUAGUGUACGGCUAAAUUAAGAAACUAUAGUAAGUCCUUUGCGGUUGGAGCUCGAACAUACGGAAUCUGGCUUAUAUACCAGCGUCUUCUGUAUUCCUUUCUAACAUGAACAUUAUUUUGCCUUCUCAAACAUCCUGA